rnacentral:sRNA from 1 species
UGAUGUGAAGGUGACCUGGGUCAGACAUCAGUCGUCCGCUUGAUCACCAAGGUUGAUUCGGCUGAUCUGACUGGCCAGGCAGGUGUCUCUUUCCUCCCCCACUGCUCUAUAUAUGUCCUUCCCACAGCUGCAUGCUCAGUCAAAGAGACUGACUUCCCCACAUAGAGGAUCAUUUCCUAGGUCAAGGAUACAAGUAACAGCGCCCUCCCUCCACUAGAAUUUCCAAACAAGCUUUCAAAAGAGUAGCUGGCAGAAUUUUUUUGCCACUCUGU